GACGGAGGGUGCAAGCGUUAUCCGGAUUUACUGGGUUUAAAGGGUGCGUAGGCUGUUUAGUAAGUCGAUAGUGAAAACCAGCAGCUUAACUGUUGGCCUGCUAUUGAUACUGCUAGACUAGAGUAUAGUAGAGGUAAGUGGAAUUUUACAUGGAGCAGUAAAAUGCGUAGAUAUGUAGAGGAACGCCAAUAACGAAGGUAACUUACUGGGCUAUUACUGACGCUGAGGCACGAAAGCGUGGGGAGCAAACAGG
rnacentral:rRNA from 1 species